UUGCCCUAGUAACGGCGAGUGAAGCGGCAACAGCUCAAAUUUGAAAGCUGGCCUUCGGGUCCGCAUUGUAAUUUGUAGAGGAUGCUUUGGGUGAAACGCCAGUCUAAGUUCCUUGGAACAGGACGUCAUAGAGGGUGAGAAUCCCGUAUGUGACUGGAAAUGUUAACCUAUGUAAAGCUCCUUCGACGAGUCGAGUUGUUUGGGAAUGCAGCUCUAAAUGGGAGGUAAAUUUCUUCUAAAGCUAAAUAUUGGCGAGAGACCGAUAGCGCACAAGUAGAGUGAUCGAAAGAUGAAAAGCACUUUGGAAAGAGAGUUAAAAAGCACGUGAAAUUGUUGAAAGGGAAGCGCUUGCAAUCAGACUUGUUUAAACUGUUCGGCCGGUCUUCUGACCGGUUUACUCAGUUUGGACAGGCCAGCAUCAGUUUCGGCGGCCGGAUAAAGGCUCUGGGAAUGUGGCCUUCACUUCGGUGAAGGUGUUAUAGCCCAGGGUGUAAUACGGCCAGCCGGGACUGAGGUCCGCGCUUCGGCUAGGAUGCUGGCGUAAUGGUUGUAAGCGACCCGUCUUGAAACACGGACCAAGGAGUCUAACAUCUAUGCGAGUGUUCGGGUGUCAAACCCCUGCGCGUAAUGAAAGUGAACGGAGGUGGGAACCGCAAGGUGCACCAUCGACCGAUCCUGAUGUCUUCGGAUGGAUUUGAGUAAGAGCAUAGCUGUUGGGACCCGAAAGAUGGUGAACUAUGCCUGAAUAGGGUGAAGCCAGAGGAAACUCUGGUGGAGGCUCGCAGCGGUUCUGACGUGCAAAUCGAUCGUCAAAUUUGGGUAUAGGGGC
rnacentral:rRNA from 1 species